CGCGCUUGGGCCGCUCAGCCGGUACGGCUGCACAGGGGCGACCGUGUUGUCGCUGCCGGUGAACUGCUGUGCAGGGGCGC
rnacentral:pre_miRNA from 1 species